UACGGAGGGUGCAAGCGUUAUCCGGAUUCACUGGGUUUAAAGGGUGCGUAGGCGGCGCGGUAAGUCGGGUGUGAAAUCCCUCGGCUUAACCGGGGAACUGCGUCUGAUACUGGAUGGCUUGAGUUUGGGAGAGGGACGCGGAAUUCCAGGUGUAGCGGUGAAAUGCGCAGAUAUCAGGAGGAACACCGAUGGCGAAGGCAGGUCUCUGGGCCGAUACUGACGCUGAGGAGCGAAAGCGUGGGGAGCGAACAGG
rnacentral:rRNA from 1 species